rnacentral:rRNA from 1 species
CAGUCGCCGCGGUAAUACCGAGGGUGCGAGCGUUAAUCGGAUUUACUGGGCGUAAAGCGUGCGUAGGCGGCUUUUUAAGUCGGAUGUGAAAUCCCCGAGCUUAACUUGGGAAUUGCAUUCGAUACUGGGAAGCUAGAGUAUGGGAGAGGAUGGUAGAAUUCCAGGUGUAGCGGUGAAAUGCGUAGAGAUCUGGAGGAAUACCGAUGGCGAAGGCAGCCAUCUGGCCUAAUACUGACGCUGAGGUACGAAAGCAUGGGGAGCAAACAGGAUUAGAUACCCCCGUAGUCCCUGUCUCUUAUAC